AACAAACGCUGGCGGCGCGUUUUAAGCAUGCAAGUCGAACGGCAGGCGAGGUAGCAAUACUUUGCCGAGAGUGGCGAACGGGUGAGUAACACGUAGGUGAUCUGCCCCUGGAUGGGGGAUAGUCCGUGGAAACACGGGGUAAUACCGCAUGAGGCCCUGGGGGUGAAGCGCUGGGGUGAAAGGUCCAAUUGGACCGUCUGGGGAUGAGCCUGCGGCCCAGUAGGUAGUUGGCGGGGUAACGGCCCACCAAGCCGACGAUGGGUAGCCGGCCUGAGAGGGUGUACGGCCACACUGGAACUGAGACACGGUCCAGACUCCUACGGGAGGCAGCAGCUAAGAAUCUUCCGCAAUGGGGGAAACCCUGACGGAGCGACGCCGCGUGGAUGAUGAAGGCCGUAAGGUUGUAAAAUCCUUUUGCGGGCGGAGAAUAAGGCGGGGAGUGGAAAGCCCCGCUGAUGACGUUAGCCUGCGAAUAAGCCCCGGCCAAUUACGUGCCAGCCGCCGCGGUAAGAC
rnacentral:rRNA from 1 species